rnacentral:rRNA from 1 species
AGUGAACGCUGGCGGUAGGCCUAACACAUGCAAGUCGAACGGCAGCACAGUAAGAGCUUGCUCUUACGGGUGGCGAGUGGCGGACGGGUGAGGAAUACAUCGGAAUCUACUUUUUCGGGGGGGAUAACGUAGGGAGACUUACGCUAAUACCGCAUACGACCUACGGGUGAAAGCAGGGGAUCUUCGGACCUUUCGCGAUUGACUGAGCCGAUGUCGGAUUAGCUAGUUGGCGGGGUAAGGGCCCACCAAGGCGACGAUCCGUAGCUGGUCUGAGAGGAUGAUCAGCCACACUGGAACUGAGACACGGUCCAGACUCCUACGGGAGGCAGCAGUGGGGAAUAUUGGACAAUGGGCGCAAGCCUGAUCCAGCCAUACCGCGUGGGUGAAGAAGGCCUUCGGGUUGUAAAGCCCUUUUGUUGGGAAAGAAAAGCAGCAGGUUAAUACCCCGCUGUUCUGACGGUACCCAAAGAAUAAGCACCGGCUAACUUCGUG